CAAUCAUCAUCAUAAUACAAGAACCUACAAUAAUGAAAGGAAAACAAGUCAAACAUAAAUCAUGAAUUGAUCAUUGUAAAAUGUAACAACUCAAUAAAAAACCAAACCAAUUCCACAGUUUAAUGUUAUUAUUCCAACUUUCCAUUUCAAAAUAAAAUAACUGGUAGUAUGAUGUCUGAUAUUGUAUAUAAACAUGUGAAGGUCUUGUUACUGUGUCUCAUCAGUCAUCACUACUUCAGUCAAAGCACCGUACACUGAUUGUUUGUUUACUCAAUAGUGAAUGGAUAGACGGUCUCCGAAAUAUGAAAAUUUCCAUUUGAACUCCCGACUGAUACAGUGUUAAGAAUUAAGGACUACAGGUAACAGGAUGACCCAAACACGAUGCUCUCAAAAACUAUAAGGCUCAGAGAAAAAAUUUUCAAGGACCCCUGAUCUUUUUUUGAAAUAAUAAGAUAGCAGAUCAUCAUCAUGGGAUGAAAUCUACAAAACCAGUAUUGACAUUUAUUUCACUCACCCUCACCAAAUCCAAAUUGUCACCCAUUAUCCUGAUGGUGUGACUGCCUACUACAACAGAAUACUUGUACUCCCCGAUACUUGCAUCGUUCACACUUAAACUGUGCAUUAGAGCCCUGGAAGCCCUCGCUGAGGAUGGCAACGCACUGUCGUCAGAUGCGGACGAGUUUAUACUCGAACUGGAACCAGUUAGUGGGCCCCCUGCCAUCAUACCAUGUUCUCUCACAGGGGAAGCAUUUCGUCGAAUGGUGUCUUCCAU